UCCAGACCAAUCACAAUGUUUUGCGCAAUUGUGCAAACGUUAAACCAAUGUAUAGUGACGUCAUCAGAAGGCGCAAGAUCCUAAGUCAAUCUGACCACCCGAGUCGAUCUGGUACCUGCACCGGAAAAAUGUCCAUGGUGCAGUAGGCAUCACUGCCCCCUAACAGGGGCUUGACUGCAUCGUUACAUCUCUGCACGUCACUCACCUUUCAAGGCUUAACAUUCAUGUUUCUACAACUUAAAUUCUGAAGUUCGCUGUAGCUCAGUCUGAAAAAUUAAACAAAUUAAAAAA